GUGAAAUAUUUAACGGCCGCAGUACCCUGACUGUGCUAAGGUAGCGUAAUCAGUUGGCUUUUAAAUGGAGUCGAGAAUGAAUGGGUCUUCGGGGACCUACUGUCUCUAGAAGGUUAUUUUUAAUUUACUAAGAAGGUGAAAAUUCCUUCAGAAAGAAAAAAGACGAGAAGACCCUUAGAGUUUUUACUAAUUUUGCCUUGUUUGGUGUGAAGUUUUUGCUGGGGCGGCAAGGAGGCAACGUUUAAACCCUCCUGUUAAACUUGUAGUAGACGUUUGUGAAAAGAAACAAUAAACUACCUUAGGGAUAACAGCAUAAUUUAGUUUAAGUUUGUGACCUCGAUGUUGGACUAGGGACUUUACGGCUAGCAGCCGCAAGAGCGAGUUCUGUUCGAACUACUUUCCCCUAC
rnacentral:rRNA from 1 species